rnacentral:rRNA from 1 species
GAGCCCCUACGGGGCGCAGCAGUAGGGAAUCUUCCACAAUGGACGAAAGUCUGAUGGAGCAACGCCGCGUGAGUGAAGAAGGGUUUCGGCUCGUAAAGCUCUGUUGGUAGUGAAGAAAGAUAGAGGUAGUAACUGGCCUUUAUUUGACGGUAAUUACUUAGAAAGUCACGGCUAACUACGUGCCAGCAGCCGUGGUAAUACGUAGGUGGCAAGCGUUGUCCGGAUUUAUUGGGCGUAAAAC